CUCACUCAAACCUCAAACGCACCACACCUUUCGAACUUGUGUGAUAGUGAUAAAUGGAUAUUAUAUUAUAUAAUUAUUAUAUUCUAAGGAAGAUUUGAUCCUAAUCCACACCGUCGCCGAUGAUUAAAACCACGUGAGAAUAAACCAACAACAGCAGCUGUCUUCAAGAACACAACAUGGUUGAAGACAUGGUCAACAUCUAAGACCUACCCACCUCAUCUGGAGCCAACAGCAUCCAUCUGCAUCCUCUACAGAAGCAAGCAUUCCAUCGAUGUCAUAAGUAUCGUUCUAUCUUUUGUAAAACUAUACACAGAGUUAGCCUUGCGUAUAUUAAAUAUCAUUACAUUA